rnacentral:rRNA from 1 species
AGUGAACGCUGGCGGUAGGCCUAACACAUGCAAGUCGAACGGCAGCACAGUAAGAGCUUGCUCUUACGGGUGGCGAGUGGCGGACGGGUGAGGAAUACAUCGGCAUCUACUUUUUCGUGGGGGAUAAUGUAGGGAAACUUACGCUAAUACCGCAUACGACCUACGGGUGAAAGCAGGGGAUCUUCGGACCUUGCGCGAUUGAAUGAGCCGAUGUCGGAUUAGCUAGUUGGCGUGGUAAAGGCCCACCAAGGCGACGAUCCGUAGCUGGUCUGAGAGGAUGAUCAGCCACACUGGAACUGAGACACGGUCCAGACUCCUACGGGAGGCGGCAGUGGGGAAUAUUGGACAAUGGGCGCAAGCCUGAUCCAGCCAUACCGCGUGGGUGAAGAAGGCCUUCGGGUUGUAAAGCCCUUUUGUUGGGAAAGAAAAGCAGCAGGUUAAUACCCCGCUGUUCUGACGGUACCCAAAGAAUAAGCACCGGCUAACUUCGUG